AACGAACGCUGGCGGCAUGCCUAACACAUGCAAGUCGAACGAAGGCUUCGGCCUUAGUGGCGCACGGGUGCGUAACGCGUGGGAAUCUGCCCUUUGGUUCGGAAUAACAGCUGGAAACGGCUGCUAAUACCGGAUGAUGACGAAAGUCCAAAGAUUUAUCGCCAGAGGAUGAGCCCGCGUUGGAUUAGGUAGUUGGUGGAGUAAAGGCCUACCAAGCCGACGAUCCAUAGCUGGUCUGAGAGGAUGAUCAGCCACACUGGGACUGAGACACGGCCCAGACUCCUACGGGAGGCAGCAGUGGGGAAUAUUGGACAAUGGGCGCAAGCAUGAACCAGCAAGGCCGCGUGAGUGAUGAAGGCCCUAGGGUUGUAAAGCUCUUUUACCCGGGAAGAUAAUGACUGUACCGGGAGAAUAAGCCCCGGCUAACUCCGUG
rnacentral:rRNA from 1 species